rnacentral:tRNA from 1 species
GGGCUCGUGGCGCAGUGGCUAGCGCAUGUGAUUCCAGAUCCACAAGGUCAUCCGUUCAAAUCGGGUCGAGCUCA